rnacentral:rRNA from 1 species
GUAUCAUGGCUCAGGAUGAACGCUAGCUACAGGCUUAACACAUGCAAGUCGAGGGCAGCAUGGUCUUAGCUUGCUAAGGCUGUAUGGCGACCGGCGCACGGGUGAGUAACACGUAUCCAACCUGCCGUCUACUCUUGGGCCAGCCUUCUGAAAGGAAGAUUAAUCCAGGAUGGGAUCAUGAGUUCACAUGUCCGACAUGAUUAAAGGUAUUUUCCGGUAGACCGAUGGGGA